AUUGAACGCUGGCGGCAGGCCUAACACAUGCAAGUCGAGCGAGCGGCGGACGGGUGAGUAAUGUCUGGGGACUGCCCGAUGGAGGGGGAUAACUACUGGAAACGGGGGCUAAUACCGCAUACUAUCGGAUAACCCAUAUGGGAUUAGCUAGUUGGUGAGGUAAAGGCUUACCUAGGCGACGAUCCCUAGCUGGUCUGAGAGGAUGAUCAGCCACACUGGGACUGAGACACGGCCCAGACUCCUACGGAGGCAGCAGUGGGGAAUAUUGCACAAUGGGCGCAAGCCUGAUGCAGCCAUGCCGCGUGUAUGAAGAAGGCCCUAGGGUUGUAAAGUACUUUCAGUCGGGAGGCGUUACCGACAGAAGAAGCACCGGCUAACUCCGUGCCAGCAGCCGCGGUAAUUC
rnacentral:rRNA from 1 species